GGGCCCAUCGUCUAAGGGAAGAAGACAGAAACCUUCUAAGUUUCCAAUGUAGGUUCGAGUCCUACUGGGCCCA
rnacentral:tRNA from 2 species